AUGGGAGACGGUAGGAAAUCUGGCUCUGGUUUCCGGUCGGUGAUGGUGUCUUGGUUUGCGUGCUUUCACUCACCGAAGGCGGCGAACACCGGCAACUAGGGCACGUAUGAUCCGGCCGGCGGGAUGGUCGCAUCGGCCAAACAUUUCUCUAGUGCUCACAAGAUAAACUUUGGCUAG
rnacentral:rRNA from 1 species